UAUUUCGUGUUUCUCAUCGAUAUCGGUACGUUUCACGCUUACACCAGUUAGUCAUAAAAAAAUUGUUUUCUUUCGCGAAGUGAGUACGUCGUUUUCUUUGUAUUUGUUCCUGUAACUAAAAUAUUUAAGGUAUAUCUCAAUAGAUGGCGUUCGCGCCAACUCUAUGGAUGUUUUUUACCAGUACAUGGUGCCGUCACGUAGGGGGUGGACGCGCUGCGCAUCCUUCCACAAUUAUGGCUCAACCCUCAACCUCAGGCGGCAUGAAUCCUACAAAUUUUUACGGGGACAGUCUUCCAGCGCGCCCUAGGUGCAUAGAUUAUGCCUGUAGAGAUGAGCCCCGCUCUGACUCAGAAUAUUCAGAUACUGAGGAUGUGGAAGACAGUGGUGAUGAAUAUCUACUCACCCAAGAUGAUGAAGCCCAGUUCAGGCACGAUUUGAUGCUUGAUUUUCAAGAUGAAGAGAAGGUUGUCACUGGGCGAUCAAGAAGAAGAACGCUGCUUCCUUUGGACUCUGUUGCAUUACCUUCAGAAGCACCUGCAGCUAAUGAGGCAACACAAGAAAGACUUGCCCUUCUUACCUAUGCUAAACAGAAUAAAGACACUAAAGAUGUUGACUGUAAUACUGCUGCAAAUGAUAUCAGUGUUCAUGGACAUGAUAAUUCUUCAGACGUAACAGUCACCACACCUUCAGUAGUUCAUGUUUCUGAGGUGGAAAGGGAUGAGGAGGUAGAAGAUUAUAGUAACCUGAAGCACAAAAUUAAUUGGAAACAGUGUGAUCCUAAUGAGAAUAAUGAAAAAAAUAUUCCAGAGUUUAGGGGUUAUAUAUCAGGCAGAGAUAAUGCAUUACAACCAGUAGAAUAUUUCAGGCAGUUCUUUGAUAGAGAAUUACUGACACUAAUAUGUAAAGAGAGCAAUA